GAUGCAAUGUUACACUUUCUCAAGUACAUAGUAUCUGUCACCAUGACAAAGAACAAAGAUUCUCUUUUUGCUCAGAUGGCACAUGGUUUUAUUCUGUACCUGUAAAACAAAGAAAUGCCAAAGGCUUGGAGAGACAGUAUGUAAUAGUCACAACUGAUGACUUAGUCCACUUUUUUUUUCUUUACAGGGUUCAAAUUAUACCUUCUAGUUGGAAGAUCUUUAAGACAGUAUUUACUUUCUGAGUCUUAAAUAAAGCAGUUAUGUCUUCUGCCCUUGAUCCAGAAAAGUACUUUGAGCUUGGAUUGUUUCCUCUGUUCCCUAUUAUUGUUCCUUGAAGCAAGACAGGAAUAACUUGUUUUUCCCUUGAUUUAACAUUCCUGGAAACUGUAUUCUAAAGGAGUCAAUGGUGAGUCCAGGACCUCCUCCUGAUAGUGUUAAAAUUCAAGAUGACUUUCCAAGGACCUCAGAUUCCUUUAACAGAUCUUCCAGUAAUGGGUGUCCAGAGUUCCCUGUAGUCUAUAUUGAAGAUAAAACCAAAACCUAACCCUGAAAUUACAGUCUCAACACCUAGAGACAACAUAUUCAAGUGAAUUGCUGAAAUUGACCCAAAGGCAUUUUUUGUUGACUUUUGCACACUUUCCAAGAGGAAAGCAUGAAAGAACAGCUCAGUGCUGACAGCUCUUAAGCACCUCUUCAUCUCUAGUGGAAACACUCCUAUUUCCUUUUUGCAAUUAAACAGGAGAGAAAAAGUGAUACUUCAGAGAGAAAAAUAUAGAGAAGCAAAGCACCGUCUAGAAGUAUGAAACAAAUAAUGGUUGGCAAUAAAGGCCAGCAGGAAUUCAAAAUUAUUUUUACAACGAUCAAUUUAGAUUAAGUCCAUUUCCGGAAAACAGAACAAAGCCUUCAGGAUCUGAUUGUACCUGGUGUUGGGAAUGACUAGGUGGCUGAGGAAGUGGAAUCUGUGUUGGCAAACAGAAAUCUCAGUGGUCCUGU
rnacentral:lncRNA from 1 species